UGAAAUUAAAUAGCACAAGAAAAAUAAAAAGAGAAAAAGGAGGGACCUUAUGUAUGAGAUUAUAAAAUGGCAAGCUAAGUUGAUAUCCAAAACUAGGCCGCCUAAGCUCUUGUUUGGUACCCGAGAGUCUCCGCCUCUGUAUCCAACCUCUGUCACAUGUAGCAGAGGGAGUUUUGAUAUCGUAUAGUGCUGUAAAAUCUUUGUCCAUUCUAUUGAUGUGUUUAUAGAUAUUUAUGUUACUCUUUGUCAAAGGAUUUUGCAGUGCAAUAAGAAGAGAGAUGGCAAGAAAUGAGUGGAUCAACAGUUACCUGGAAGCUAUUCUUGAUGUUGGAACUAGCAACAAAAAGAGGUUUGAGAGCAACUCCAAGAUCGUCCAGAAGCUUGGAGAUAUGAAUAGAAAGGAACCUCAAGAGAAGGUGUUUAGUCCCAUCAAGUACUUUGUGGAAGAGGUUGUCAACAGCUUCGAUGAGUCUGACCUGUAUAAAACAUGGAUUAAGGUUUGAUCCUCAACCUAUAAAUUUAGAUCAAUGAUAUACAAAGAGAAUAUAUCAAUGAUAUAACACAAAAAAAAACCUCAAAAGUGAUUUUAGCAAAACAAAAGUUUUUACAAAUAAAUUAAAUACCUGCAAGUGAUGGUAGAGGGAUCUUUAAACUUGUUGCGGCAGGUGAUAGCAACAAGGAACUUAUAGAAACAAGUCUAAUGGGAACAAACGAAGAAAAGGCUUUGUGCCACUCAUUAUUCUGUCUCUACCCAAAAAAAAAAAGAAGAAGAGGAACCUCAAAAAGGAAAUAGGUGAUUCUUAUUCGACUAGAGAAUCUGAUAAUGCAAAAAUCAAUACCUUAAGAUUCUUUUUAGAUUAAGACAGAAUAUAUGUCCUUCGAGAGUUUAACGGUUAACAGAUGACGUUGUAAUAUGCCGUCUGAGAGAUAAUAUAGAGAAUGAGAACCACACCAGACCUUUUUCUUUUAACUUUUCCUAAACAAAUUCUGAAAUUAAAUAGCACAAGAAAAAUAAAAAGAGAAAAAGGAGGGACCUUAUGUAUGAGAUUAUAAAAUGGCAAGCUAAGUUGAUAUCCAAAACUAGGCCGCCUAAGCUCUUGUUUGGUACCCGAGAGUCUCCGCCUCUGUAUCCAACCUCUGUCACAUGUAGCAGAGGGAGUUUUGAUAUCGUAUAGUGCUGUAAAAUCUUUGUCCAUUCUAUUGAUGUGUUUAUAGAUAUUUAUGUUACUCUUUGUCAAAGGAUUUUGCAGUGCAAUAAGAAGAGAGAUGGCAAGAAAUGAGUGGAUCAACAGUUACCUGGAAGCUAUUCUUGAUGUUGGAACUAGCAACAAAAAGAGGUUUGAGAGCAACUCCAAGAUCGUCCAGAAGCUUGGAGAUAUGAAUAGAAAGGAACCUCAAGAGAAGGUGUUUAGUCCCAUCAAGUACUUUGUGGAAGAGGUUGUCAACAGCUUCGAUGAGUCUGACCUGUAUAAAACAUGGAUUAAGGUUUGAUCCUCAACCUAUAAAUUUAGAUCAAUGAUAUACAAAGAGAAUAUAUCAAUGAUAUAACACAAAAAAAAACCUCAAAAGUGAUUUUAGCAAAACAAAAGUUUUUACAAAUAAAUUAAAUACCUGCAAGUGAUGGUAGAGGGAUCUUUAAACUUGUUGCGGCAGGUGAUAGCAACAAGGAACACUCGUGAACGUAGCAACAGGCUUGAGAAUAUAUGCUGGCGUAUAUGGC
rnacentral:lncRNA from 1 species